rnacentral:rRNA from 1 species
CCCCUAGACGUUCUGGGCUGCACGCGCGCUACAAUAAUACGCACAGCGAGUAUCACCGAGCUCGAAAGGGCAAGGUAAACAAUAGAAAAGGUACUGUAAUGGUUAUAGAUCCUUGUAAUUAUUGAUCUUCAACGAGGAAUUCCUAGUAAGUAUGUGUCAUCAUCACGCACUGAUUACGUCCCUGCCCUUUGUACACACCGCCCGUCGCUCCUACCGAUUGAGUUAGCCGAUGAAACUGCCGGAUGUGGACUAUUCAUAGUCUGCAGAAGAUAUUUGAAUCGUAGCGCUUAGAGGAAGGAGAAGUCGUAACA